rnacentral:rRNA from 1 species
GAUGAACGCUGGCGGCGUGCCUAAUACAUGCAAGUCGAGCGAACGGACGAGAAGCUUGCUUCUCUGAUGUUAGCGGCGGACGGGUGAGUAACACGUGGAUAACCUACCUAUAAGACUGGGAUAACUUCGGGAAACCGGAGCUAAUACCGGAUAAUAUUUUGAACCGCAUGGUUCAAAAGUGAAAGACGGUCUUGCUGUCACUUAUAGAUGGAUCCGCGCUGCAUUAGCUAGUUGGUAAGGUAACGGCUUACCAAGGCAACGAUGCAUAGACGACCUGAGAGGGUGAUCGGCCACACGGGAGCGGAAACACGGUCAAGACUACUACGGGAGGCACCAGUAGGGAAUCUUCCGCAAUGGGCGAAAGCCUGACGGAGCAACGCCGCGUGAGUGAUGAAGGUCUUCGGAUCGUAAAACUCUGUUAUUAGGGAAAAACAGAUGUGUAAGUAACUAUGCACGUCUUGACGGUACCUAAUCAGAAAGCCACGGCUAACUACGUG